rnacentral:rRNA from 1 species
AAUCAACGCUGGCGGCGUGCCUAACACAUGCAAGUCGAACGCGAAAGCCCCGCAAGGGGUCAGUAGAGUGGCAAACGGGUGAGUAACACGUGGGUGACCUGCCUUCGAGUAGGGGAUAACGUCCCGAAAGGGACGCUAAUACCGCAUCACAUGCUGCCUUUGAAGAGGUGGACAUCAAAGCUGGGGAUCGCAAGACCUAGCGCUUGAAGAGGGGCCCGCGCCUGAUUAGCUAGUUGGUGGGGUAAUGGCUCACCAAGGCUACGAUCNGUAUCCGGCCUGAGAGGGCGGACGGACACACUGGGACUGAGACACGGCCCAGGUACUCCUACGGGAGGCAAGCAGUGGGGGAAUUGUUCGCAAUGGGCGCAAAGCCUGACGACGCAACGCCGCGUGGAGGAUGAAGACCUUCGGU